UCCCCAAAAGUGCGAGUAUUUUUCUCUAUCAAAAAACAAAAACAAAAACAGUAAAAUAGUAUUACAAAUAAUACUACCACCUGAAACUCAACCUUUGAUCAUAAACUAAAGCCCAUGAUCUUUCUAGGUUAGUGUCUCUCUAAGCUUAAGAAAACCUUCACAUUGCACCGUACCAAAAAGUGCAUGUGAUAUGUUUGACAAAAGUCCUAGCUGGGCAUAAGAUUAGAUAGGUGAAAAAUUAUAGCUACUUUUAGGCAUAAGAAUGAGAACCCACAUUUUCAAAUUCAUAAUCAAACACCGCCACCAGCCUGUUAUGGCUGUUCGGUUGAAAACAACAUCUUCCCAGUAUGUUGCAGCUAGAGCUAGAGACCCUGUGUUUGAGAAACUUAUGGACAAGUACAAACACCUUGUCAAAGUCAUUGCCAUUCAAGACCUCAUCCUUGCAAACCCAAAAAGCCCAUAUGUAUCCCUUGAAUUCCUCUCUAGGCUCUCCCAAAAGCUGCACCUCAACCGUGGCGCCACUUCCUUUCUACGCAAGUAUCCUCACAUUUUCCACAUUUACUACGACCCCAACAAGUCUCAGCCCUUCUGCAGAUUAACUGACGCUGCUAUUGAGAUUUCUUGCCAAGAAGCAGAGGCUAUCAAUGCUUCGUUGCCACUUGUUGUUGACCGUUUGGUACGGUUUCUGUCAAUGUCCUCAUCCAAAAUGCUGCCCCUUCGUGGCAUUUUCAAAGUUUGGAGGGAACUCGGGCUCCCUGAUGAUUUUGAGGAAUCAGUAAUUGCUCGAAACUCUGAUCUUUUUCAACUUUGUGAUGCUCAUGAACCUAAUACUCAUUUUUUGAAACUGGUUGAUGGGAGUUGUGUCAAUCAUUUUACGGCAGCAGUGGAGAAUUGGAGGCUUUUGGAGUGUUGUAAGCAGGAUUGUAGUGUUGAUAGGAUGGAAAUGAGAUAUAGUUUUAAACAUGGGUAUCCUCCAUGUAUGAAACUUAGUAAGAGUUUUAGGGCCAAGGUUAAGGAAUGGCAAAGUUUGCCAUAUGUGGGACCAUACGAGGAGAUGAGAGAGAAGAAGAAGACAUCCAAGUUUGGAAUGAUGGCAAUGGAGAAACGGGCUGUUGCAAUCAUUCAUGAAUUCUUGAGCUUGACAGUGGAGAAGAUGGUGGAAGUAGAGAAGAUCAGUCAUUUUAGGAAAUGGUUUGGGAUUGACUUAAAUAUAAGGGAUUUGUUCUUGGAUCACCCAGGAAUAUUUUAUUUGUCCACAAAGGGGAAGAGGCAUACCAUCUUUCUGAGAGAAGCAUAUGAGAGGGGAUGUUUGAUAGAACCAAAUCCAGUUUAUGAUGCUAGAAGAAAGCUUCUUGAUCUUGUUGUCUUGGGACGUCAUGGUUUGUUUAAUGAUGAAAAUAAGCCAAGGGACCUUUUUAGUUGCAAGGAGGCUGAGUUGCAAGAAGAGGACUCUGACGAAGAUGAUGACUUUUCAGCACCCUGACUAGAACAUUUCAACUUCCAGUAUCAGGUGCAUCAUCGGUUUGCCCUUCCAGGUUUAUAGCUCCAUUAUUUGAAGAUAUGAUCCAUUUGAAGGGGCUCACUUGAUUGCAUCCUAUUUUUAAUGGUAAAUUAAAGGGUGAGAAUAAGUUCAAGAUGAUUUUAUUGAAGAAUCUUAUAGAGCUGAUCUAUUUUCCUUGGCCCUUAGAUUUUGAUUCUGCUGCGAAGCCUGACAAAUUUGAUGCCAUGAUGACUGCUGCACAAUUGCACUGGAGGUGGCUGCCAAUAAUUGGGAACGACAUUAUUAGACCCAUGUGGAGGAUGUUCUGUUGUUGUAAAAUUUAAUCCAAUUUUUUCUUUAGGUAGGUGUAUAUAUUUUUUUUGGCUGAAAUACACUUUCAUCUCAGAAAUUGGACCUAGAUUCAGUUAUUGUCCAUCAAAUUUAAAAUUUCCUAAUUUCACCCUCGAGAAAUUUAAAAGGCAGCAGUGUUUCCUUUUGUCAUUAGCUGUGAAUGCAACAUCAGAUUUUGACCGUCACAUCAGCCUUCCUUUGGCCAAAUGUUCAAUUCAGUUCACAGUUGAUGGAUAGAAGGACAAUAUUGUUAUCAUUUACAUUAUUCAGGGACAAAAUGAAAAAGUUUUAAAUUUGAGGGACGAAAUCAAACCUAUGCUUAAGUUUCAAGGAUCAGAGGUCUAUUUCAGCUAGUGUUUUUCUUAAGGUGCUGCUAGUUCAGAAUGGUUAUAAGACAGUGAAAAAUAAUAUUUGAAGUGGCAUUAGAGAGAGGUUUUAGUCACUCUUCUUUCACUUAUUUUUGGAGCAUAAGUCUAGAGUAUUGAAUUAUGCAGCCAUAGUUGGAGAAUUGUAGAGAUCCUCUGUUACGAUAUUGUUUCUUGUUGAAUUUGUACCUUUUUUGUGUUGCUGAACACAUACAUCAAUAGUUGAAUGGUGAAUUAUGAAGAAAUUCACUCUUUCUUUUUC